rnacentral:rRNA from 1 species
UACGUAGGGUGCAAGCGUUGUCCGGAAUUAUUGGGCGUAAAGAGCUCGUAGGCGGUCUGUCGCGUCGGCUGUGAAAACCCGAGGCUCAACCUCGGGCCUGCAGUCGAUACGGGCAAACUAGAGUACUGCAGGGGAGACUGGAAUUCCUGGUGUAGCGGUGAAGUGCGCAGAUAUCAGGAGGAACACCGGUGGCGAAGGCGGGUCUCUGGGCCGGAACUGACGCUGAGGAGCGAAAGCGUGGGUAGCAAACAGG